rnacentral:rRNA from 1 species
UACGAAGGGGGCUAGCGUUGUUCGGAUUUACUGGGCGUAAAGCGCACGUAGGCGGAUCUUUAAGUCAGAGGUGAAAUCCCAAGGCUCAACCUUGGAACUGCCUUUGAUACUGGAGAUCUUGAGUCCGGGAGAGGUGAGUGGAACUGCGAGUGUAGAGGUGAAAUUCGUAGAUAUUCGGAAGAACACCAGUGGCGAAGGCGGCUCACUGGACCGGUAUUGACGCUGAUGUGCGAAAGCGUGGGGAGCGAACAGG